UCGGGAAUAUUGCGCAAUGGAGGAAACUCUGACGCAGUGACGCCGCGUGCAGGAAGAAGGUUUUCGGAUUGUAAACUGCUUUAGACAGGGAAGAAAAAAGACAGUACCUGUAGAAUAAGCUCCGGCUAACUACGUGCCAGCAGCCGCGGUAAUACGUAGGGAGCGAGCGUUAUCCGGAUUUAUUGGGUGUAAAGGGUGCGUAGACGGGAAAUUAAGUUAGUUGUGAAAUCCCACGGCUCAACUGUGGAACUGCAACUAAAACUGGUUUUCUUGAGUACUGGAAAGGAAAGUGGAAUUCUUAGUGUAGCGGUGAAAUGCGUAGAUAUUAGGAGGAACACCAGUGGCGAAGGCGACUUUCUGGACAGAAACUGACGUU
rnacentral:rRNA from 1 species